CGCAGCCUUGUCAAAUUCAGUGGAUCCUCCGCGGUGGGUGCUACUGGCCAAAAUGUCUGCAACAGUGAAGAUGGAGUUUGUGGGCCCCGUUGUGCUCCAUCAUGGCCUCUGGGCAUAAAUAUGUACUCCACACAAAC
ensembl:snoRNA